AGUGAACGCUGGCGGCAGGCCUAACACAUGCAAGUCGAGCGGCAGCACAGUAAGAGCUUGCUCUUACGGGUGGCGAGUGGCGGACGGGUGCGGAAUACAUCGGAAUCUACUUUUUCGUGGGGGAUAACGUAGGGAAACUUACGCUAAUACCGCAUACGACCUACGGGUGAAAGCAGGGGAUCUUCGGACCUUGCGCGAUUGAAUGAGCCGAUGUCGGAUUAGCUAGUUGGCGGGGUAAAGGCCCACCAAGGCGACGAUCCGUAGCUGGUCUGAGAGGAUGAUCAGCCACACUGGAACUGAGACACGGUCCAGACUCCUACGGGAGGCAGCAGUGGGGAAUAUUGGACAAUGGGCGCAAGCCUGAUCCAGCCAUACCGCGUGGGUGAAGAAGGCCUUCGGGUUGUAAAGCCCUUUUGUUUGGAAAGAAAAGCAGCAGGUUAAUACCCCGCUGUUCUGACGUUACCCAAAGAAUAAGCACCGGCUAACUUCGUG
rnacentral:rRNA from 1 species